GGACGCGACCAUACCAUGUUGGAAACACCGAUUCUCGUCUGAUCACUGAAGUUAAGCAGCGUUGGGCCCGGUUGGAAGUUUCAUGAGUGACUGGCUGGGAAUACCGGGUGUUGCGGCCG
rnacentral:rRNA from 1 species